CGUCGAGAAAUCGGCGCUAAUACCUCAUAAUGCAGCGGAUCCGCAUGGAUAUGUUGUUAAAGGUUUACCGCCUUGGGAUAGGCUUGCGUCUGAUUAGUUAGUUGGUGUGGUAACGGCACACCAAGGCUACGAUCAGUAACUGGUCUGAGAGGAUGAUCAGUCACACUGGAACUGAGACACGGUCCAGACUCCUACGGGAGGCAGCAGUGAGGAAUAUUGGGCAAUGCUCGAAAGAGUGACCCAGCAACGCCGCGUGGAGGAUGAAGGUAUUCUAUAUCGUAAACUCCUGUGAGAGCAGACGAAAGACAGAUUAUUAAUCUGGAUGACUGUAUGCUCAGAGGAAGCCCCGGCUAACUACGUG
rnacentral:rRNA from 1 species